rnacentral:rRNA from 1 species
AUUGAACGCUGGCGGCAUGCCUUACACAUGCAAGUCGAACGGUAACGCGGGAGCAAUCCUGGCGACGAGUGGCGAACGGGUGAGUAAUACAUCGGAACGUGCCCAGUAGUGGGGGAUAGCCCGGCGAAAGCCGGAUUAAUACCGCAUACGACCUACGGGUGAAAGCGGGGGAUCGCAAGACCUCGCGCUAUUGGAGCGGCCGAUGUCAGAUUAGGUAGUUGGUGGGGUAAAGGCCUACCAAGCCGACGAUCUGUAGCUGGUCUGAGAGGACGACCAGCCACACUGGGACUGAGAGACGGCCCAGAAUCCUACGGGAGGAAGCAGUGGGGAAUUUUGGACAAUGGGCGCAAGCCUGAUCCAGCCAUGCCGCGUGCGGGAAGAAGGCCUUCGGGUUGUAAACCGCUUUUGUCAGGGAAGAAAUCCUUUGGGCUAAUACCCCGGGGGGAUGACGGUACCUGAAGAAUAAGCACCGGCUAACUACGUGCCAGCAGUCGCCGUAACAC